ensembl:lncRNA
GGGAGACAAGCGGCAAGAAAGCAGAAAGGGACCUGGGGUGUUGAUGACAGCAAGGAUGUUAAGGUCCUUGAAGGCAUCAAGAGGAGGGCAACAAAGCAGCCAAUUCUACAUUCCAAGCCUGGACCGCCUGUACUUUGCUGCCAUUGCUUGUGGCAGGUGUCACCAACAACCAGAGCAAAAACAGCCAAGUUCACUGCAGCAUGCCAAAAAGUGUGCCACAGCCCGGGCCCACAUCUUUGUCCGCAAGGUGCAGCCAAGCACAGCACUCCAGAAGGACAGGAAUCACCAGUGAGCAGUUCCAGCCUCCUGAUGGCUUCCAAACUGAAAUACUCUUCUUCUGUGCUUCUACCUGGCCACAAAUUGAGCUGCUGCCAUUGUAACAGGUUCUGGCCUUCCUGCACUAGUAGGUGCACCUUGCAAACACCGUGGCAUUCCUGUACACAAAGCCAAAUCUGGGCUGCACAAAAUGAGAGCAUGCACAGCCACAGAUCUCAGCAGCCAUUAAAGGUUUAC